GACGAACGCUGGCGGCGUGCUUAACACAUGCAAGUCGAACGGAAAGGCCCUGCUUUUGUGGGGUGCUCGAGUGGCGAACGGGUGAGUAACACGUGAGUAACCUGCCCUUGACUUUGGGAUAACUUCAGGAAACUGGGGCUAAUACCGGAUAGGAGCUCCUGCUGCAUGGUGGGGGUUGGAAAGUUUCGGCGGUUGGGGAUGGACUCGCGGCUUAUCAGCUUGUUGGUGGGGUAGUGGCUUACCAAGGCUUUGACGGGUAGCCGGCCUGAGAGGGUGACCGGCCACAUUGGGACUGAGAUACGGCCCGGACUCCUACGGGAGGCAGAAGUGGGGAAUAUUGCACAAGGGGAGGAGGCCUGAUGCGGCAACGCCGCGUGCGGGAUGACGGCCUUCGGGUUGUAAACCACUUUCGCCUGUGACGAAGCGUGAGUGACGGUAAUGGGUAAAGAAGCACCGGCUAACUACGUG
rnacentral:rRNA from 1 species